GACGAACGCCGGCGGCGUGCUUAACACAUGCAAGUCGAACGGUAAGGCCCUUCGGGGUACACGAGUGGCGAACGGGUGAGUAACACGUGGGUGAUCUGCCCUGCACUUCGGGAUAAGCCUGGGAAACUGGGCCUAAUACCGGAUAGGACCACUGCCUGCAUGGGUGGUGGUGGAAAGCUUUUGCGGUGUGGGAUGGGCCCGCGGCCUAUCAGCUUGUUGGUGGGGUGAUGGCCUACCAAGGCGACGACGGAUAGCCGGCCUGAGAGGGUGACCGGCCACACUGGGACUGAGAUACGGCCCAGACUCCUACGGGAGGCAGCAGUGGGGAAUAUUGCACAAUGGGCGCAAGCCUGAUGCAGCGACGCCGCGUGAGGGAUGACGGCCUUCGGGUUGUAAACCUCUUUCAGCACCGACGAAGCGCAAGUGACGGUAGGUGCAGAAGAAGGACCGGCCAACUACGUGCCAGCCGCCGCGGUAA
rnacentral:rRNA from 1 species